ACCCCACUGCUAUCGGGAUAGGACUAAGACAUGCUAGUUGAGCGCUUCAGCUAAAAAGAGGCGCAGCGUACAGCUCAGUAACACGUGGCUAAUCUGCCCUUAGGACGAGAACAACCCCGGGAAACUGGGGCUAACUCUCGAUAGGUGAAGAACUCUGGAAUGAGUCUUCGCCCAAAAAGCUUCACGUUAUGCGCGUGAAGUUGCCUAAGGAUGAGGCCGCGACCGAUCAGGUUGUUGGUGAGGUAAUGGCUCACCAAGCCUUUUACCGGUGCGGGCCGUGAGAGCGGGAGCCCGGAGAUGGGCACUGAGACAAGGGCCCAGGCCCUACGGGGCGCAGCAGUCGCGAAAACUUUGCAAUACACGAAAGUGUGACAGGGCUAUCCCGAGUGCCAUCCGCUGAGGAAGGCUUUUACCCAGUCUAGAACGCUGGGGGAAUAAGGAGAGGGCAAGUCUGGUGUCAGCCGCCGCGGUAAUACCAGCUCUCCGAGUGGUGUGGAUGUUUAUUGGGCCUAAAGCAUCCGUAGCUGGCUAGGUUAGUCCCCUGUUAAAUCCACCGAAUUAAUCGUUGGAUUGCGGGGGAUACUGCUUGGCUAGGGGACGAGAGAGGCAGACGGUAUUUCCGGGGUAGGGGUGAAAUCCUAUAAUCCCGGGAAGACCACCAGUGGCGAAGGCUGUCUGCUAGAACGCGCCCGACGGUGAGGGAUGAAAGCUGGGGGAGCGAACCGGAUUAGAUACCCGGGUAGUCCCAGCUGUAAACGAUGCAGACUAGGUGUUUGGACGGCCACGUGCCGUUCUAGUGCCGCAGGGAAGCUGUUAAGUCUGCCGCCUGGGGAGUACGAUCGCAAGAUUGAAACUUAAAGGAAU
rnacentral:rRNA from 1 species